CCAGAUAUAGAUGGAAUAUAAUCCAUAAAGGUGGUAUUCUUAAAGAACUAUUUUACGGUACACAAUACUACCAUUUAGUGAUAUAUUGUAUAUAUAAAAUCUGAUCGUUUAUUACGAUGGAUAAUUUAAUAAUUAUUACUUUUAGACUUUAUGCUAGUGUAAAAAACUCUUAUAGCGAUGCCAUUUAUAUUUUUUUACCAUGAUACCCUUGUACUACCUAUACUACUCAUGUAUACCCAUACCAUAGGUGAAGUUUUCACUGGUAUACAAUUAAUCUUUUGACCGUUAGAUGUUUUUAUACUAGUCCUUCU
rnacentral:lncRNA from 1 species